CAGCUCCUGGACUUCAGCUAAUUGCACCAUUCCCUUGGAGGAGUGUUGCCUCUCCCAAGUUUCCCGGUGAGGAGCUGGUCUGUGAGCUAUUCCGUGGUUUCUUACAUCAUUCCUGCGUUCCCAGCCCUGCCACUCGACCGCAAGGCUUUCAGAAGGGUGUGCAAUGGCCCAUCCUUCCUUCUGGCAGUGCUUCCCAGAUCCCAAAAACACGGAGCAGGGGAUAAACUUGAGCAAUGUGUUUUCCAAAUAGACUAUGGGAAAAAAAAAAAAUUAAAGGGAAGUGUGAAGCCUCCUCCAGCUCCUCCUGUCGUUUUGGGCAUGCUUGUGCCACGUGUCAGGACAAACAGAGGAGACAUCUGGAACGGGUUCAUGAAAGUUCCUCUGCCUGGUUCAGCUCCUGGUCACACGGAGUUUUCCUGGCACAAACGAGUGGAAAGAGCACUUUGGCAUGGAGGGGAAAUGAGCAGCAGAGGGUGA